rnacentral:rRNA from 1 species
AUUGAACGCUGGCGGCAUGCCUUACACAUGCAAGUCGAACGGCAGCACGGGUGCUUGCACCUGGUGGCGAGUGGCGAACGGGUGAGUAAUACAUCGGAACAUGUCCUGUAGUGGGGGAUGGCCCGGCGAAAGCCGGAUUAAUACCGCAUACGAUCUACGGAUGAAAGCGGGGGACCUUCGGGCCUCGCGCUAUAGGGUUGGCCGAUGGCUGAUUAGCUAGUUGGUGGGGUAAAGGCCUACCAAGGCGACGAUCAGUAGCUGGUCUGAGAGGACGACCAGCCACACUGGGACUGAGACACGGCCCAGACUCCUACGGGAGGCAGCAGUGGGGAAUUUUGGACAAUGGGCGAAAGCCUGAUCCAGCAAUGCCGCGUGUGUGAAGAAGGCCUUCGGGUUGUAAAGCACUUUUGUCCGGAAAGAAAUCCUUGGCCCUAAUACGGUCGGGGGAUGACGGUACCGGAAGAAUAAGCACCGGCUAACUACGUG